GUGGCUGUUAUAGGUCUUUCAAGUACUUUUAGUAAAUGUUCCGGUACUAUUUCUUUAUUGAUCAAAUAGCUAGUACAUCUGGGAUCUACUAAUGCUAAAGUUUCUAUCUCCAUAUUUUUUAUUUUUAUUUUUACUAAUACUUUUAUGGUAGAGAAUUCUUUAUCUUCAUUGCAUAUUAGACUAGUGUCAUUAUCUUCCAAAUUCAUAAGUUCUGCCUCCAAUUUUUCUAAAUGUAUAGCUUCUUGUGUAUCUGAUUCUUC
rnacentral:lncRNA from 1 species